AAGCCAGCCAGCUAACCUGCCUAUCUGAGUGUGUUUCUGCAGAAAUUUAGAAAAAUAGUGAUACCCUGCUAUAAGCCUUAAGGACAACUGAGGUCAUUAAGUCUCUGAAUAUGGCUACAAUA
rnacentral:snoRNA from 1 species